AGUCAGUCUAUUUCUCCUGGUGACCUCAGAGCAUCUAUUUCCCAGCAUAAAGCAACCUGCUGCUCUCUCCUAUUGCCACCCAUGUCCUUUGUUAUUUGAAUAAGAGGUUUAAAGGUGCAGCUUUUACCCAUUCUCCAUUUUAUAGUCUUCUCCAGCCUCUCAGGAUCCACAAUACAGAUCUGAGCUAAGGAGUAAUUUGCAAUCCCUGACAAAGCAAACUUCUCUUUACUCCAUCAAACAUUCUUUUCUAGGGUAUCUGCAUCUGAACCAUUCAAGAAGGUCCAUGUUAAUGGAUGGUAACAGAAAUGAACAACAGUAGUAAUGGAUGAGGACAGAGAAAUAACAAAAAUUCUGGAUCACAUGGAGAGUUAAAAGUCAAAGCAAAUACCUAAUCGGAGUAGCUUCAAAGGAAAAAGGACUGAAAAUACAACGAAAGCUUGUGAUGAAGAUGUCCACAGUGGAACAGAAGCCUAGCCUGUGACCAUGGUAUUCUUUGGACAUGGAUGAAGGAAUGGGGCUUCUCAUUGUUAUGCAAGUGAGAGAUGAACUAGCGUCACUUCACUGAAUCACAGACACUACCUUCAGCAGCUUCUACUUAACCCAGCUCCUCAGCACUACACACCAUUCCGGCUCAGGUGCCAUGGCUGAUCUAGAGGCUGCCAUCCCUCUUCUGCCCACCUCUGGCCCUUACAUGAAGUGAUUGUGCAUUUUCAUGUCUUUGGUUCCUUGUCAUCGACUUCAGGCUGGACAAGUGAAACCAGUGGGAUCUUGAGCGACCUCAUGAAGGAAACGUGACUCACUUCUGGCCACGAGGAUCCAAAGGGAAGUCUGACUCAGCAGCUGAACACGGGAGGAGACUUCCUCCACCCCUGAACACUGUUCCUCUGCCUUCCGCACAGAAUGCGGAAAGCAUCUCGCAGCAUUACAUUGAUGACUGGUUCAAGGUGAAUGACUCAGAACCCAGCGAGUUCAUCACUCUGCAGGCUGUUAGCUGGGCUUUGGAGGGUGGAUGACUCCUGGAGUCGAAGGGGGAUUUUGGUUUUGCCAGCUGAGAAGAAGAGAAGAGAAGUUCUGGUGGUUCGGAUCACACACUUAGCUUCCUUGGGGUCUGCUGUCUUCACUUUCUGCCUGUUUAUAAAUACCCUUUGCUCAGUGUAUAGUUGGACAAGCUUUGGCUCAUGUUGCCUUUAUCACAAUUAAGAUAUAAAAAGUCCUCAUCAUCCCCAAAUAUUUAUUACUCCUACUCUGUUGUUCUUUUCAAUUUUCACUCUGACCACAGUCAACCACCUAGAUUCUAGUAGUUCUCAGCCUUCCUAAUGCUGUGACCCUUUAAAACAGUUACCCAUAUUGUGGUGACCCC